UUUUAUCCCCAAUAAAAGUAAAAAAUUACUCUACUUUCCUUUCUUCAUUCAUUCCGUCCGAGAAACCUAGAGUCUUUAGCUUCUGCACUCUGGUUUUUUAUUUUUCUUCAUCCCCCAGAAAACCCACACACAAUCUCAUUAAGAAAAGAAAAAAAAAAAAAUUCAUGCUCCAUCUCCCUGCAUCUCUUACCUCUUCUCUUGCAAACAUAUGAAAGACUAAGGAAAAAUUGCGUUUGAGGUGAGCAGUAGUUGUGCAGAGGAGCUUUACUUGGAAAGUUUGCAGCAUCAAAUAGAAAGCGAUCUUAUGCCAAGUGCCCGAUGUGACCAAAGUGAUUCUUAUGGUAUCCUUUUAGUUAUAUGUUCUAUGGAGAAUUAUUGGCAAGGGAUUGGAAUGAGCUAGGGGUGACAAACUGUGGAAAUGAGACAAAACUCCUAAGUGGAUCAGUCUAUCGAGACGGAUUGCCCAAGGAAUUAUAUGUGGUGAAAAAUGUAUUAACUGGAAUGAGAAAACAUGUUCAUUUACUGGACAUAACAACUCUAUCACAACUCAGAAAAUAUGCACAUCCUGGCUUGUAUAAUGGCUUUAGGCGCAUGGACUGUAACCAUUGGUGUAUUGCUGGACUUCUAGAUACUUGGAAUCAAAUUUUUAUGGAUUUCUCAUAAUUGUUA